rnacentral:rRNA from 1 species
UACGGGGGGGGCAAGCGUUGUUCAGAAUUACUGGGCUUAAAGGGCUCGUAGGCGGCCAUCUAAGUCCGAUGUGAAAUCCCCAGGCUUAACCUGGGAACUGCGUCGGAUACUGGAUGGCUUGAAUUCGGGAGAGGGAUGCAGAAUUCCAGGUGUAGCGGUGAAAUGCGUAGAUAUGCCAUAGAACACCGAUUGUGAAGACAGUUCACUAAGCCAUAUCUGACACUGAGGCUCGAAAGCGUGGGGAGCGAACAGG